AAGAAGAAGAAGAAGAAGAAGAAGAAGAAAGAGUUAGUACUCGGGUUUGAUGAGGGCCCCAGUGUUGAUCACAGAUGCCAACUGUGGACCACACAGUGGUGUGAUGGCUGUUUUACUUUUAAGUAGCCUUAUUUUUAUUUCUUUUCACACAAUCAUUUAAAAGCAGCUAAGAAAAAGGAUUCCCUUUCUGCCUUUCUUUUGCCAGGAAGCAAAAUCUUCAUUUUUUCAUGUGUAGAACAUUCCUUUACACUGUGAAUAUAUGUUGCUAUAAUUGGUUUAACAAACAAGCUGACUGGCCAAUACCCAAACAGGAUAAGGUUAGGUGGGAAAGCCAAACUGAGAAUUCUGGGAGGAAGAACGGUGGAGUCUGUAGUCACCAGAAGACACAGAGAGGCAAGAUGGGCAUGCCAUACUGAGAAAAGAUACCAAGCCACGUGGCGAACAUAGAUAAGAAAAUAGGUUAAUUUAAUUGUAAAAGUUAGCCAAUAACAAGCCUGAGCUAUUGGCCCAGCAUUUACAAUUAAUAUUAAGACUCUGAGUGGUUAUUUGAGAGCUGCUGCUGGCACAGGAAGACUCCAACUACACUCACGUUUCUGGAAGAUGAUGCAUCCAAGCCAAGGAAGGUUUGCUGUCCUGUGUAUCUCUUCCUUAACACUCCCACAGUGUCUCUGAAGAUUUUCUCCUUUUCAGUCAAUGAAUGACUGAGAUAGGGCUGUAUCAUCAGCAAACUUUUGGUGAAAUUUUGAUGCACCACACUCUCUCACAACAAAACUUAAAGUUGAAUGCCAGCCAUGCCUUUUCUUAGAAGAUCCAUUGGUGAGCCCACCAGGAGCCAUUUCCAGGAUAGCCUUUGGAUAACGUCUCUCAUUGUACUGUUGUCUCUCUGCCCCUUGACCAUCUCUAAGGAGCCACUGGAGGCAUAUGGGACAAAAAUGACAUAUGCAAAGUUCUGACUGGGGAUCUAACUGCGGAGAAUUUAACAAAGUAAGUGGCAAUAUAAAUUUGUGGAUGUUAAUAUUUCAGGGUGGGUGGAUCUUCUGGUAAUUGCAUGGUGGUAAUUAAAAAGGACAACAGUUGGUGUAUUGACAAUCCUUCUCCUAGGGAUAGAUGCCAGUGAAGGUGCUUCCACAAGGGGAAAGCAUUUUAGCAUUUGUAUUAAAGUCACAAUUUAGUGACUGCUCCACACCACACC